AACUCGUGAUGUGGACAAGUGCUUAACAGAUCCUUGAACCUCUCCUAACAAACUUGAAAAGUCUCAUCACCCUUCUGCAUAAACUAAAUGAUCUAUUCCUGCAAAAAU